rnacentral:rRNA from 1 species
GAUGAACGCUGGCGGCGUGCCUAAUACAUGCAAGUCGAGCGAACAGACGAGGAGCUUGCUCCUUUGACGUUAGCGGCGGACGGGUGAGUAACACGUGGAUAACCUACCUAUAAGACUGGGAUAACUUCGGGAAACCGGAGCUAAUACCGGAUAACAUGUUGAACCGCAUGGUUCAACAGUGAAAGACGGUCUUGCUGUCACUUAUAGAUGGAUCCGCGCCGCAUUAGCUAGUUGGUAAGGUAACGGCUUACCAAGGCAACGAUGCGUAGCCGACCUGAGAGGGUGAUCGGCCACACUGGAACUGAGACACGGUCCAGACUCCUACGGGAGGCAGCAGUAGGGAAUCCUCCGCAAAGGGCGAAAGCCUGACGGAGCAACGCCGCGUGAGUGAAGAAGGUCUUCGGAUCGUAAAACUCUGUUAUUAGGGAAGAACAAAUGUGUAAGUAACUAUGCACGUCUUGACGGUACCUAAUCAGAAAGCCACGGCUAACUACGUG